CAGUCAUACCAACGGGAAAUCAACCUUUUGAGCUCGGUCUCGUGGGUUUUGAAGAGUUUCAAAGCCUUCGGAUUCGCGGGAUUGGGAUCUCUCGGUGUACUUUCUCGUACGGUUAGUCAACAUCGGUUUUGAAUGUCAUAAAAUGACUGGAGGAAUGUAGCUUCGAUCUCGUAUUGAAGUGUUAUAGCCUUUGGUAGAUGUGAUGUUUGAGACCGAGGAUUGCAACGGAUACCCUUCAGGGCUAUACGUCUGAUCUCUGAUACGUUGCCCUGAUGUUGAAAGCUUGCUUAUGAUGUUAGGGUAUUACGGUCAAAAGGUUAGAACGAAUUACAUUCGUUAAGGAUGUUGACGUAAUGACUUUAAACGA
rnacentral:rRNA from 1 species